GGUAAGGUGGCCGAGCAAUAGGCGGCGGGUUGUAGCCCCGUGCACAGAGGUUCAAUUCCCCUCCUUACCA
rnacentral:tRNA from 1 species